rnacentral:rRNA from 1 species
UACAGAGGUGGCAAGCGUUGUUCGGAAUUACUGGGCGUAAAGGGCGCGUAGGCGGCCUUCUAAGUCAGACGUGAAAUCCCCCGGCUUAACCUGGGAACUGCGUCUGAUACUGGGAGGCUCGAGUAUGGGAGAGGGAUGUAGAAUUCCAGGUGUAGCGGUGAAAUGCGUAGAUAUCUGGAGGAACACCGGUGGCGAAGGCGGCAUCCUGGACCGGUAUUGACGCUGAGGCGCGAAAGCCAGGGGAGCAAACGGG